rnacentral:rRNA from 1 species
UACAGAGGGUGCGAGCGUUGUCCGGAAUCACUGGGCGUAAAGGGCGCGUAGGCGGUCUCUUAAGCGUGUGGUGAAAGCCCGGGGCUCAACUCCGGAAUUGCCUUUAAGACUGCAUCGCUAGAAUUGUGGAGAGGUAAGUGGAAUUCCGAGUGUAGAGGUGAAAUUCGUAGAUAUUCGGAAGAACACCAGUGGCGAAGGCGACUUACUGGACACAUAUUGACGCUGAGGUGCGAAAGCGUGGGGAGCAAACAGG